UACGAAGGGGGCGAGCGUUGUUCGGAAUUACUGGGCGUAAAGGGCGCGCAGGCGGCUCUGAAAGUCAGAUGUGAAAGCCCCGGGCUUAACCUGGGAACUGCAUUGAUACUCUGGAGCUUGAGUACGGGAGAGGAUAGUGGAAUUCCCAGUGUAGAGGUGAAAUUCGUAGAUAUUGGGAAGAACACCGGUGGCGAAGGCGGCUAUCUGGACCGUAACUGGACGCUGAGGCGCGAAAGCGUGGGGAGCAACAGG
rnacentral:rRNA from 1 species